AGCCACGCAGUGAGCACAAAGCCAACUAUUCUUUCGCCUUUUACUAAAGAAUACCGUAUGUGCAUUGUAAUUAGUGGCAUACGCUUAUUUUUGAAGAAGUUACUCUUUAUUGAGUACU
rnacentral:snRNA from 2 species